UUCUGGUUGAUCCUGCCGGACCUGACUGCUAUCGGAUUGAUACUAAGCCAUGCGAGUCUUUGCAGUAAUGCAAGGCGGACUGCUCAGUAACACGUAGUCAACUUAACCUAUGGAUGGGUAUAACCUCGGGAAACUGAGAAUAAUUCCCAAUAGAUCAUUUAUCCUGGAAUGGUUAGUGAUUGAAAUGAUUCGUCGCCAUAGGAUAGGACUGCGGCCUAUCAGCUUGUUGGUGAGGUAAAGGCCCACCAAGGCUAUUACAGGUACGGGCUCUGAGAGGAGAAGCCCGGAGAUGGGUACUGAGACACGGACCCAGGCCCUAUGGGGCGCAGCAGGCGAGAAAACUUUGCAAUGUGCGAAAGCACGACAAGGUUAAUCCGAGUGAUUUCUGCUAAAGAAAUCUUUUGCCAGUUCUAAAAAUACUGGUGAAUAAGGGGUGGGCAAGUUCUGGUGCCAGCAGCCGAGGUAAU
rnacentral:rRNA from 1 species